rnacentral:lncRNA from 1 species
GUGCAAUUAUUAUUAUCAGCAUCUAGAAAGCAUCACACGGAGCAUUGACCUUCAUGCUGCAUUGUUCUUACUGGAUCCUCCUAUCCGUGAACAUUAUGCCAAGUACCAAUACAGCAUCAAGUCAUUUCUGGAUGGAAAGUUUUCAAACUUCUUCAUUUGGAGUUACUUAAACGUGAGGGUGUUGGGAUUUUUGAGGAUGCCUUCCCUAUGUGGAUUAUUACAGUUUGAUGACUGAUUCUCUGCCUCAAAGAAGAUUAUUUUGCUAUCUGGAAACUCAUGCCCACCUCUUUGACUUCGGGUCAAAAUUGCUUUCCUCACAGUCUGACUGGGAAAGUUGUAAAACAUUAGAAUGUCCUUCAGCGGUGGGCUGUGGAAUGUCAUUACUCUCAGGUGACUACGGAAGCAUUAGCACCCUGCAUGCUCAGAUUGCUAGGAAAUUGGAUAGACCUCCAGAGAAAUUCUCUCCCACGCCUUCCCUGGGGACCAGCCUGUGACACAGGAAUUGGCAAGAAUCUAAUUUCACCGGAAGGUUUGCUGAAGCAUUAUCACCAGACAGCCAGAAUGAUUGAUGAGUGCUUUUCAGGAAGGGAAAUGCUUCCAGCUUGGUUUGUGGGAAGGAGUAAAUUGAACCACAUCUAUAAUGCCACCAUCCAGUUUCUGGUAUACAAGUUUGGAAGUUGGAUGAAGAGGCAGAGAACAGGGCCAUUACGUGACCCAGCCUAUGCCCCUUGUGCCAGAGAUGGAAUGAGAAUAAACAGAAUUGAGGUGGCCCCCACUCCUACGGACACAGCUCUUUCACCUAUACGGUUUUCUUCUGUAUUUCCUGAUAUAAGUCUCCCCCUGACCCCACUGGAAUGCAUGGAUUUGCAUUUGUUCUUCCAGGAGUGUCUAACUGGAUGUCCUCUGCAAAUUCAUCAAAUGUGCCAUCUUUUCCAUCAUGUGGUCAUCCCUGGGAUCAUCAUCGAACAUCGUUCUCCACCACUCUGGUCCAUGGAUGGUUGUUCUCUUUUGUCCAUUCCAUCAAAUGUCCUGAACACUGUCAGAAGAGGGAAAAGGCUAAUGGAGCUGUUAAGUCUAAGUAUGACUGCCAAGAUGAAUCCAAAAAAGCCAAAGAGCCUGAGCAUGUCAGACCUUCCUGCAGCCUGCCACACACACUUAAAACCCCAGGGAAAUGAGUGCGGCUCAGGAGGGGGGAAGAGCGCCAACCAGAAAUUUUGA